GAACGUGUUAGAAUUAAUGGGCUAGGCCCGUAGCAAUUUCUGAAAUCUCAAAGCCCAUGUGUAAAAUGGCAAGUGGUGGUGCUAAGUUUAGUCCCACCCCGGAAGUUGAAGAAGAGUUGGACCUCUUUAUAUAGUGGGUUCCCUCCACCACUCUAAGUGGUGUGUGAGAAGAGAAAGGGAAAACCACACGCGCGCGCUCGCUCGCCUCGCCGGGCCGUGGCGAGGCGAGGCGUAUAUGCGACAUGCGCGUGAAUGGUCCGCCGAAAUCCGAUCCGUCUCCUUGCAGGAGCGCAGCUUCCUUUUGCCCGCCUUUGGUCCUAAUAUAUAUACAGUUCGUCAUCACGGGUCGUCUUCCGUCCUACGUGUUUGCUGCUGUUAUGCAUGUCUUGUUGUUCUUCUAGUUUGCUAGAUUAUUGCAUGCUAGUAUCUAUUCUAGUCAUGAAUUAUUUACUGGAAUUAAUCAUGAACUUGCCUAAUAUUCCAACAAUCCAAAAACCUAACUGAUAAGUUUACCGGUGUGCACUUUAAGAGGUGGCAGGUGAAGACCACGCUCUGGCUUACUGCUCUGAAAGUUUUUCACGUUAGUGUUGGUGCUCCAGAGGGAAUGACUGACGAAGUUCAGAGAAAAUUCCAGGAAGCCACUACUAUGUUUGUGGGAUGCAUUCUGAGUGUUCUUGCUGACCGUCUGUGUGAUGUGUACAUGCACAUAAAUGACGGAAAGGUUCUGUGGAAUGCACUGAAUGUAAAAUUCGGUGCAACAGAUGCAGGCAGUGAACUGUACAUCAUGGAGAGUUUUCAUGACUACAAGAUGGUGAAUAACCGUUCUGUGGUUGAACAACCUCAUGAGAUACAGUGCAUUGUGAAGGAACUUGAACUCCUUAAAUGUGUUCUACCCGACAAAUUCGUGGCUGGGUGCAUGAUUGCAAAGUUGUCUCCUUCAUGGAGGAAUUUCGCCACAACUCUGAAGCAUAAGAGACAGGAGAUAUCAGUUGAAAAUCUGAUUGCAUCUCUUGAUGUUGAAGAAAAAGCUCGGGCUAAAGAUACUACUGAAAAAGGAGGUGAGGUUCAGCUUACUGCUAACAUGGUGCAGAGGUACCCACAGAACAAGAACAAAGGGAAGAACAAACCUGUUUUCAACAAGCCUACCAAGACUACUACCUUCAAGAAGAAGAAGUUCAACAAGGCUGAGCUAGAGUGCUACGCCUGUGGGAAGCCUGGACACUUUUCCAAGGAAUGCCCUGAAUGUGCAGACCGCAGAGGGAAAGCAAGCUCCAAGACUGUCAACAUGGUGACCGCUAGCAAUACUGAUGGGUAUGGUAAUUUACCUAUUGUGCUUUCAGUAUUUCAAUCAUCUUCGUGGUGGAUUGAUUCGGGUGCUAACGUUCAUGUGUGUGCUGACAUCUCCCUGUUUACUUCUUAUCAGGUCGCAAGGGAUUCUUCUGUCCUAAUGGGGAAUGGGUCACAUGCCUCUGUUCGUGGCAUUGGCACGGUGGAUCUGAAGUUUACUUCGGGAAAGAUCAUGCAACUAAGGAACAUGCAGCAUGUCCCUACUAUGAACAAGAAUCUAGUUAGCGGCUCCCUUCUAUGUCGAGAUGGAUUUAAGGUAGUUUUAGAGUCCAAUAAAGUAAUCGUGUCAAGAUUUGGACAAUUUAUAGGAAAAGGCUAUGAGUGCGUAGGCUUGUUCCGCUUUUCCCUUUCAGAUUUUUGCAAUAAGUUAAUAAACCAAAUUUGUGCUAGUGUUAAUGAUGAUGCAAGUAUUUGGCACUCUCGUUUAUGUCAUAUUAAUUUUGGUUUAAUGUCUCGGCUAUCCAGCAUGAGUUUAAUUCCGAACUUCACAGUUGCCAAAGGUUCUAAGUGCCAUAGUUGUGUGCAAUCUAAGCAACCUCGAAAGCCUCAUAAGGCUGCCGAGGAGAGAAACUUGGCACCUCUAGAACUCAUACAUUCUGAUCUUUGUGAGAUGAAUGGUGCGUUGACAAAAGGUGGAAAGAGAUAUUUCAUGACUUUGAUUGAUGAUGCGACUAGAUUUUGCUAUGUUUAUUUGUUGCAAACUAAAGAUGAAGCAUUAGACUACUUUAAAAUCUAUAAAGCUGAAGUUGAAAAUCAACUAGAGAGAUAGAUCAAGCGUCUUAGGUCCGAUCGUGGUGGAGAGUAUUUUCCCAAAGUUUUUGAUGAAUUUUAUGAGGAACAUGGUAUUAUUCAUGAGAGGACGCCUCCCUAUUCACCUCAAUCAAAUGGAGUGGCCGAGAGGAAAAACCGCACAUUGACUGACUUGGUGAAUGCCAUGUUAGACACUGCUGGUUUAUCUAAGGCAUGGUGGGGGGAGACUCUAUUGACUUCAUGUCAUGUCCUGAAUAGAGUUCCCAACAAUAAUAAGGAGAAAACCCCUUAUGAGGAGUGGGUUGGGAGAAAACCAUCACUUUCUUAUUUGCGCACUUGGGGAUGUUUGGCAAAGGUCAAUAUUCCUAUUCCUAAGAAACGCAAACUUGGACCAAAGACAGUGGAUUGUGUCUUUCUAGGGUAUGCUCAACGGAGCAUUGCUUAUAGGUUUUUAGUGGUAAAAUCUGAAGUACCUGAUAUGCAUGUUGAUACUAUAAUGGAAUCUCGUGAUGCAACAUUUUUUGAGAACAUAUUUCCUAUGAAAGAUAUGCAUAGCAUUGCUAGUUUUUCUUCUGAGAUAAUUCCUGAAUCUAGUACAACUGAUGAAUAUUUCGAACAAUCACAUGAGGAAGUCCUUGAGAAGGAUAACAAUGAAGUUCCUAUAAGGAACAAGAGACAAAGGAUUGCAAAAUCCUUUGGUGAUGAUUUCAUUGUAUACCUUGUGGACGACACACCCAAGACGAUUGCAGAAGCAUAUGCAUCUCCGGAUGUAGAUGAUUGGAAAGAAGCUGUUCAUAAUGAGAUGGACUCAAUUCUUUCUAAUGGAACUUGGGAACUAACUGAUAGACCAUAUGGUUGUAAACCUGUGGGUUGUAAGUGGGUGUUCAAAAAGAAGCUAAAGCCUGAUGGUACUAUUGAUAAGUACAAGGUGCGGCUAGUGGCCAAGGGCUACACUCAGAAAGAAGGCGAAGAUUACUUUGACACCUAUUCACCCGUUGCUAGAAUGACCACCAUUCAAGUGUUACUUUCCUUGGCUGCCUCUUAUGGUCUUAUCAUUCAUCAAAUGGAUGUAAAGACAGCUUUUCUCAAUGGAGAGUUGGAAGAGGAGAUCUAUAUGGAUCAGCCUGACGGGUUUGUGGUAAAGGGUGAAGAGAGAAAGGUGUGCAAGUUGUUAAAAUCUUUGUAUGGUCUGAAACAGGCACCUAAGCAAUGGCAUGAGAAGUUUGAAAGAACUCUGACUUCUGCAGGAUUUGUCAUUAACGAGGCUGAUAGGUGUGUUUACUAUCGCCAUGGUGGGGGCAAUAGUGUCAUAUUAUGUUUGUAUGUGGACGACAUACUGAUCUUUGGUACAAACAUUAAUGCAAUUAAUGAGGUCAAGUCUUUUCUAUCAAAAAGUUUUGACAUGAAAGAUCUGGGAGNNNNNNNNNNGGAUGUUUGGCAAAGGUCAAUAUUCCUAUUCCUAAGAAACGCAAACUUGGACCAAAGACAGUGGAUUGUGUCUUUCUAGGGUAUGCUCAACGGAGCAUUGCUUAUAGGUUUUUAGUGGUAAAAUCUGAAGUACCUGAUAUGCAUGUUGAUACUAUAAUGGAAUCUCGUGAUGCUUCAUUUUUUGAGAACAUAUUUCCUAUGAAAGAUAUGCAUAGCAUUGCUAGAUUUUCUUCUGAGAUAAUUCCUGAAUCUAGUACAACUGAUGAAUAUUUCGAACAAUCACAUGAGGAAGUCCUUGAGAAGGAUAACAAUGAAGUUCCUAGAAGGAACAAGAGACAAAGGAUUGCAAAAUCCUUUGGUGAUGAUUUCAUUGUAUACCUUGUGGACGACACACCCAAGACGAUUGCAGAAGCAUAUGCAUCUCCGGAUGUAGAUGAUUGGAAAGAAGCUGUUCAUAAUGAGAUGGACUCAAUUCUUUCUAAUGGAACUUGGGAACUAACUGAUAGACCAUAUGGUUGUAAACCUGUGGGCUGUAAGUGGGUGUUCAAAAAGAAGCUAAAGCCUGAUGGUACUAUUGAUAAGUACAAGGCGCGGCUAGUGGCCAAGGGCUACACUCAGAAAGAAGGCGAAGAUUACUUUGACACCUAUUCACCAUUGCUAGAAUGACCACCAUUCGAGUGUUACUUUCCUUGGCUGCCUCUUAUGGUCUUAUCAUUCAUCAAAUGGAUGUAAAGACAGCUUUUCUCAAUGGAGAGUUGGAAGAGGAGAUCUAUAUGGAUCAGCCUGAUGGGUUUGUGGUAAAGGGUGAAGAGAGAAAGGUGUGCAAGUUGUUAAAAUCUUUGUAUGGUCUGAAACAGGCACCUAAGCAAUGGCAUGAGAAGUUUGAAAGAACUUUGACUUCUGCAGGAUUUGUCAUUAACGAGGCUGAUAGGUGUGUUUACUAUCGCCAUGGUGGGGGCAAUAGUGUCAUAUUAUGUUUGUAUGUGGACGACAUACUGAUCUUUGGUACAAACAUUAAUGCAAUUAAUGAGGUCAAGUCUUUUCUAUCAAAAAGUUUUGACAUGAAAGAUCUGGGAGAAGCCGAUGUAAUUCUAAACAUCAAACUUAUUAAGGAUGAGAGUGGGAUUACAUUAACACAAUCUCACUAUGUUGAGAAGGUCUUGAACCGAUUCGGUUUUAUGGAUAGCAAGCCUUCUCCAACACCUUAUGAUCCCAGCGUGACACUCAGAAAGAACAAGAAAGAAACGAGAGAUCAAUUAAGAUACUCUCAAAUUGUCGGUUCACUCAUGUACUUAGCUAGCGCUACAAGACCAAAUAUCUCUUUUGCUGUGAGCAAACUAAGUAGGUUCAUGUCCAACCCGGGUGAUGAUCAUUGGCAUGCACUAGAAAGGGUCUUGCGCUAUCUGAGAGGUACUAUGAGUUACAGAAUUACUUAUUCAGGGCAUCCUACUGUGCUAGAAGGAUAUAGUGAUUUAAAUUGGAUCUCCGAUGUUGAUGUACUUUACGCAACAAGUGGGUAUGUAUUUACUCAUGGUGGUGGCGCAGUGUCAUGGAGGUCUUGCAAGCAAACCAUAUUGACGAGGUCAACUAUGAAAGCAGAAUUAACUGCUUUGGACACAGCUACUGUUGAGGCAGAAUGGCUGCGUGAGCUCUUGAUGGACUUGCCGGUUGUUGAAAAACCUGUACCGGCUAUUCUUAUGAAUUGUGAUAACCAAACGGUUAUCGCUAAAGUGAACAAUUCUAAAGAUAAUGCAAAGUCAUCAAGACACGUGAAAAGACGUUUGAAGUCUGUCAGGAAGUUGAGAAACUCCGGAGUAAUAACUAUUACGUAUAUACAAACAGACAAAAACCUGGCAGAUCCCUUUACAAAGGGACUAUCACGAAAUGUGAUAGAUAUUGCAUCGAGGGAGAUGGGUAUGAGACCCAUAGAUGUUACACCAUAGUAGUAACCCAACCUUUGUGAUCGNNNNNNNNNNGGUGAUGAUCAUUGGCAUGCACUAGAAAGGGUCUUGCGCUAUCUGAGAGGUACUAUGAGUUACGGAAUUACUUAUUCAGGGCAUCCUGCUGUGCUAGAAGGAUAUAGUGAUUCAAAUUGGAUCUCCGAUGUUGAUGUACUUUACGCAACAAGUGGGUAUGUAUUUACUCAUGGUGGUGGCGCAGUGUCAUGGAGGUCUUGCAAGCAAACCAUAUUGACGAGGUCAACUAUGGAAGCAGAAUUAACUGCUUUGGACACAGCUACUGUUGAGGCAGAAUGGCUGCGUGAGCUCUUGAUGGACUUGCCGGUUGUUGAAAAACCUGUACCGGCUAUUCUUAUGAAUUGUGAUAACCAAACGGUUAUCGCUAAAGUGAACAAUUCUAAAGAUAAUGCAAAGUCAUCAAGACACGUGAAGAGACGUUUGAAGUCUGUCAGGAAGUUGAGAAACUCCGGAGUAAUAACUGUUACGUAUAUACAAACAGUCAAAAACCUGGCAGAUCCCUUUCCAAAGGGACUAUCACGAAAUGUUAUAGAUAUUGCAUCGAGGGAGAUGGGUAUGAGACCCAUAGAUGUUACACCAUAGUAGUAACCCAACCUUUGUGAUCGGAGAUCCCGUGAAUUAGGAUCUGGGAAGAACAAGCUAUUGGUUAACUGAGGAGAGUAAUAACUAAUGAUCGUCUCCAAGUGAAGAUGCAAAACUCUCAGAGCUGUAAGGCUCAGAUCUAUAAGGCAGGUUGGCAACAUGCCUUAACGUGGUUCUAUUGGCUAUAAUUAGCAAAGACGCUGUCCUACAGAGCAUUCUUGAAAGAACACACCUAUAUGAGUUCUGACUGUAAACGUCGCAGUCUAUGAGAUUUGGGUGAUCUCUAGUAAGCUCACGAAGAGACCAGGGAGUAUGACGUAUAAGCUCCAAACCGCGGGGUAGCCUACUGGCGGUCAGGUACUGGUUAAGACUUUGAGUGAAACCUGUUCACACAAAACUAGCAAUUCAAGGCAUAGUCCAUUGUCAAGUUGUGAAUGGAUGUAGCUUAAAGUUCUAGGCAGAAGUUCAACUUAACAGUCUCUGCUGAAACACUGGUAUAUUAAACAAGUGGUGAGAGAAGGCAAAUCUCUAAAUGGGUAUUUGAGAUCUGGUGGGGGAUUGUUAGAAUUAAUGGGCUAGGCCCAUAGCAAUUUCUGAAAUCUCAAAGCCCAUGUGUAAAAUGGCAAGUGGUGGUGCUAAGUUUAGUCCCACCCCAGAAGUUGAAGAAGAGUUGGACCUCUUUAUAUAGUGGGUUCCCUCCACCACUCUAAGUGGUGUGUGAGAAGAGAAAGGGAAAACCACACGCGCGCGCUCGCUCGCCUCGCCGGGCCGUGGCGAGGCGAGGCGUAUAUGCGACAUGCGCGUGAAUGGUCCGCCGAAAUCCGAU
rnacentral:lncRNA from 1 species